AGAUUUUGGUCAGAAUGGAUAAAAUAACGACCUUCCGCUUACCGGGCAGAUGCCAUGACCACUAGGCUACCC